rnacentral:rRNA from 1 species
UUGCAUAUCCAAAAAGCGGAGGAAAAGAAACCAACAGGGAUUGCCUCAGUAGCGGCGAGUGAAGCGGCAAGAGCUCAGAUUUGAAAUCGUGCUUUGCGGCACGAGUUGUAGAUUGCAGGUUGGAGUCUGUGUGGAAGGCGGUGUCCAAGUCCCUUGGAACAGGGCGCCCAGGAGGGUGAGAGCCCCGUGGGAUGCCGGCGGAAGCAGUGAGGCCCUUCUGACGAGUCGAGUUGUUUGGGAAUGCAGCUCCAAGCGGGUGGUAAAUUCCAUCUAAGGCUAAAUACUGGCGAGAGACCGAUAGCGAACAAGUACUGUGAAGGAAAGAUGAAAAGCACUUUGAAAAGAGAGUGAAACAGCACGUGAAAUUGUUGAAAGGGAAGGGUAUUGCGCCCGACAUGGGGAUUGCGCACCGCUGCCUCUCGUGGGCGGCGCUCUGGGCUUUCCCUGGGCCAGCAUCGGUUCUUGCUGCAGGAGAAGGGGUUCUGGAACGUGGCUCUUCGGAGUGUUAUAGCCAGGGCCAGAUGCUGCGUGCGGGGACCGAGGACUGCGGCCGUGUAGUCACGAUGCAAGCGACCCCGU